CGUGAAGUUCGCAAAUUUUGUAGAUAUUUGCAUUACACGCGGGAAAAAAAUAACCAUUUUUGAGAGGAAAGUGGUUAUUUUUACCGCGCGUAAAUGCGUAAUACAAAUAUAUACAAAAUUUGCGAACUUUACA